AUUAAGGUCCUUAAUCUGAGGUCCACAGAUGGAGUGUUGCCAUGUCCAAUACUACAUGCAAAAAUACACGCGUCUAUUUGAGGAUGUUUUUCUGGAUGGAAAGGUCUCACUGUGUAGCCCUGGCUGUCCUGGAAUCCCUAUAUAGACCAGGCUAGCCUGAAGCUCUCAGAGAUCUGGCCGCCUCUGCCACCACACCAGCGGCACUUGCCUGUGCGCUUCGUCCGAACACCAUCCAACGGUACGAGUCAAUAAAUCCCUAGCUUCAUCUUGAUCACCUGGAAAUGCUCUUGGCCUUUGCAAAGUGGACGAAGAGGCUAACAAUGAAAAUACUGGAGGAAAUUUGCUUUAAGUUCGUCCCCAGGGAAACCAUCAGGUCGGGGAUUUCAUAAACCGUGCUGUAAUUUGCUACGAUGUAGGUAAAAGAUUCGGGGGUGGAUGUCUAGAAGUAUAAGUUAAGC